GGCCUUUGAUACUGUGCGCCUUGAGUGUAGUUGAAGUGGGCGGAAUAUAGCAAGUAGCGGUGAAAUGCGUAGAUAUGCUAUAGAACGCCAAUUGCGAAGGCCGCUCACUAAGCUAUAACUGACGCUGAGGCACGAAAGCGUGGGUAGCGAACAGGAUUAGAUACCCUGGUAGUCCACGCCGUAAACGAUGAACACUCGCUGUUGGCUGAUUACAGUCAGCGGCUGAGCGAAAGCGUUAAGUGUUCCACCUGGGAAUUACGAUCGCAAGGUUGAAACUCAAAGGAAUUGACGGGGGCCCGCACAAGCGGAGGAGCAUGUGGUUUAAUUCGAUGCAACGCGAAGAACCUUACCAGCCCUUGACAUCCUCGGAACUUACUAGAGAUA
rnacentral:rRNA from 1 species